rnacentral:rRNA from 1 species
UGAACGCUGGCGGCAGCCCUAACACAUGCAAGUCGAACGGUAACAGGAAACAGCUUGCUGUUUCGCUGACGAGUGGCGGACGGGUGAGUAAUGUCUGGGAAACUGCCUGAUGGAGGGGGAUAACUACUGGAAACGGUAGCUAAUACCGCAUAACGUCGCAAGACCAAAGAGGGGGACCUUCGGGCCUCUUGCCAUCGGAUGUGCCCAGAUGGGAUUAGCUAGUAGGUGGGGUAACGGCUCACCUAGGCGACGAUCCCUAGCUGGUCUGAGAGGAUGACCAGCCACACUGGAACUGAGACACGGUCCAGACUCCUACGGGAGGCAGCAGUGGGGAAUAUUGCACAAUGGGCGCAAGCCUGAUGCAGCCAUGCCGCGUGUAUGAAGAAGGCCUUCGGGUUGUAAAGUACUUUCAGCGGGGAGGAAGGGAGUAAAGUUAAUACCUUUGCUCAUUGACGUUACCCGCAGAAGAAGCACCGGCUAACUCCGUGCCAGCAGCCGCGGUAAUACGGAGGGUGCAAGCGUUAAUCGGAAUUACUGGGCGUAAAGCGCACGCAGGCGGUUUGUUAAGUCAGAUGUGAAAUCCCCGGGCUCAACCUGGGAACUGCAUCUGAUACUGGCAAGCUUGAGUCUCGUAGAGGGGGGUAGAAUUCCAGGUGUAGCGGUGAAAUGCGUAGAGAUCUGGAGGAAUACCGGUGGCGAAGGCGGCCCCCUGGACGAAGACUGACGCUCAGGUGCGAAAGC